UACGGAGGAUGCGAGCGUUAUCCGGAUUUAUUGGGUUUAAAGGGUGCGUAGGCGGGCUUUUAAGUCAGCGGUAAAAAUUCGGGGCUCAACCCCGUCCGGCCGUUGAAACUGGGGGCCUUGAGUGGGCGAGAAGAAGGCGGAAUGCGUGGUGUAGCGGUGAAAUGCAAAGAUAUCACGCAGAACCCCGAUUGCGAAGGCAGCCUUCCGGCGCCCUACUGACGCUGAGGCACGAAAGUGCGGGGAUCGAACAGG
rnacentral:rRNA from 1 species